rnacentral:lncRNA from 1 species
GCCCUAUUCCAUCAUUACCAUGUUUCUCCUGGCCAUUUGUGGGCUGUCUUUUGAAAGACCAAUAGUCAUAGCCUUAAGGAGACCACUGUUGCUGAAAAGCCUUGUUUAUUGUGAGGAGGAGGGGAGAAACUGGGGUGAGAAACGUUGCUACCUGUUGCAGCAGCUACCUGAUCACCCAAGAGAUUUGCAUAAUUUCUUCCUCCCACUAUAUCCCAUUCCAGCAGCCAAUAUCUUAACAAAAGGGAAGCUAUUAUGGAAGAAAAUUUAAUAAAAAUAUUCUCUAG